rnacentral:rRNA from 1 species
ACGUACACUCCUGCGGGAGGCAGCAGUGGGGAAUAUUGGACAAUGGGCGCAAGCCUGAUCCAGCCAUGCCGCGUGAGUGAUGAAGGCCCUAGGGUUGUAAAGCUCUUUCACCGGGGAAGAUAAUGACGGUAACCGGAGAAGCAGCCCCGGCUAACUUCGUGCCAGCAGCCGCGGUAAUACGAAGGGGGGUAGCGUUGUUCGGAUUUACUGGGCGUAAAGCGCACGUAGGCGGACUAUUAAGUCAGGGGUGAAAUCCCGGGGCUCAACCCCGGAACUGCCUUUGAUACUGGUAGUCUUGAGUUCGAUAGAGGUGAGUGGAAUUCCGAGUGUAGAGGUGAAAUUCGUAGAUAUUCGGAGGAACACCAGUGGCGAAGGCGGCUCACUGGCUCGAUACUGACGCUGAGGUGCGAAAGCGUGGGGAGCAAACAGGAUUAGAAACCCGGGUAGUCCCAUGAU